rnacentral:lncRNA from 1 species
CAAGGGAAUCAAUUUGUUUCUUUAAGUAUGAACAGACCUAUCCCGGCAGGACAUCAAAUACAUCUGCCUCAUGAAUUAUUUGUAACUUUGUCAAAGAAAGUGCAAUUUGAUGGUGCUAAUGUCAGUCUCCACAGCUCAGUGGGCUCUUGUUUCAGAGCAGAAAUGAGAAAGACCCUUCCCCGGCCAGUGGAAGAAACCCUCUGCAAUAAAACAUCGCACACUGCUGCAUGUGCCCGUUUGACAAAGACAAUUUGAUUUGUCCGUGGCUUUUAAAAUAUUCAUCCAACUUUGAUGGACUAUAGUUUUACAAAAAGAGAUCAUCAUUAGCUGGCACCCUGCCUCCAGCCAACACCACACCAUUCACUUGGAGUGAAGACAUCCAAUAAAAAAAAGAAAUCAUUAUCUGCCUAAGAACCCUAAUCAGUAAUGUUGGGUUCAAGUGCAGCUUAGGGGUCACUAACUCACUUUCACUGCCUCUGUGCUUUGGGGAGGAAGAUGCGUUUUGUGGACUUCACAUCACAGGCCAAGGAGAGACUUUGCAAAAGCCAGGAGGCCAAGUUGAAGGAGGAAGAACAGAGUUUGUGGCUGGAGGGAUAAGAACUGACUAGAAUCAUGAAACCAAGGAAAAGCUGGAAGGGCUCUUAAGAACACAGAAUGUUAGUGAUAGAAGGAACCUUAGUACAUAGAGCAUCAGACCCAGAAACAACGUUAGAACACAUUGUUAAGAGUGGAAAGGACCUGAAAUUGAAAAUGUUGGAGUUGGAAAGGACCUUAGAACAUAGAAUUUUAAAUAGAGAACCCAAGAUGUCAAGAGCUGAAAGAUCCUAGAAUACAGAAUGCUGGCACUGAAAGAGAAUUUAGAGCCGAGAAUGUCAGAGUAGAGCAAAUAGACACAUAGAAUUGGAUGACACCUAUGAGGUCCAAGCUAGAAGGCAGAGAGGCUGUCGGGAUGGCAGGCUUUGGGGGAGCCUCCUUCCUAGAUUUUGAUCAAGAGUUGGAAGGGAACAUAAAUUGCUGGGUUCCAAAUGCUGGUGGGGAUCAUAAGCCACUAAACCUCGGCAUCUUCUUUCCUUAUUGUGCGUGCGUGUGUGUAAGCGUCCAUGUGAGUGCCAACCAAGACGUCGCCAUCAAGCGAAAAAAAUUACAUCCCGUCCUGACGAGCGACUAAUCAAGGCGAGGCGAGCGGGUCUGCCAUAAAUUACUCCAUUCCGAAAUAAACCACACAAACAGACCGAUGAUAAUAAAUGU